UACGGAGGGUGCGAGCGUUAUCCGGAAUUACUGGGUUUAAAGGGUGCGUAGGCGGCUUGGUAAGUCAGGAGUGAAAGUUUGCGGCUCAACCGUAAAAUUGCUUUUGAUACUGCCAGGCUGGAAUUAGGAUGAGGUCAGCGGAAUGUGGCAUGUAGCGGUGAAAUGCAUAGAUAUGCCAUAGAACACCAAUUGCGAAGGCAGCUGGCUAGACCUGGAUUGACGCUGAGGCACGAAAGCGUGGGGAGCGAACAGG
rnacentral:rRNA from 1 species